AGACUCAAUCCCUCGGGUUUCCGAGGAGAUUGGACUUGGGUGUUGCCGCUCUGCCGGCUCGACCUUAAAAGACUUAGCGGGAUAGCACCGUAGUCGGCGUAAUAAGUUUCGUCGGUGAAGGUUGUGAUGACUGCUUACAAUCGCCCUCGGGCUAAUUUUUUGACU
rnacentral:misc_RNA from 1 species